rnacentral:rRNA from 1 species
GACGAACGCUGGCGGCGUGCCUAAUACAUGCAAGUUGAGCGCUGAAGGUUGGUACUUGUACCAACUGGAUGAGCAGCGAACGGGUGAGUAACGCGUGGGGAAUCUGCCUUUGAGCGGGGGACAACAUUUGGAAACGAAUGCUAAUACCGCAUAAAAACUUUAAACACAAGUUUUAAGUUUGAAAGAUGCAAUUGCAUCACUCAAAGAUGAUCCCGCGUUGUAUUAGCUAGUUGGUGAGGUAAAGGCUCACCAAGGCGAUGAUACAUAGCCGACCUGAGAGGGUGAUCGGCCACAUUGGGACUGAGACACGGCCCAAGCUCCUACGGGAGGCAGCAGUAGGGAAUCUUCGGCAAUGGACGAAGGUCUGACCGAGCAACGCCGCGUGAGUGAAGAAGGUUUUCGGAUCGUAAAACUCUGUUGGUAGAGAAGAACGUUGGUGAGAGUGGAAAGCUCAUCAAGUGACGGUAACUACCCAGAAAGGGACGGCUAACUACGUG